rnacentral:tRNA from 4 species
GCUCCAGUAGCUUAUU